rnacentral:rRNA from 1 species
UACAGAGGUCUCAAGCGUUGUUCGGAUUCAUUGGGCGUAAAGGGUGUGUAGGUGGCGCGCUAAGUCGGGUGUGAAAUUUCGGAGCUUAACUCCGAAACUGCAUUCGAUACUGGCGUGCUUGAGGACUGGAGAGGAGACUGGAAUUCAUGGUGUAGCAGUGAAAUGCGUAGAGAUCAUGAGGAAGACCAGUGGCGAAGGCGGGUCUCUGGGCCGAUAUUGACGCUGAGGAGCGAAAGCGUGGGGAGCGAACAGG